GACGGGACCGCACAAGCGGUGGAUGAUGUGGAUUAAUUCGAUGCAACGCGAAAACCUUACCUACCCUUGACAUGUCCGGAAUCCGAAGAGAUUUGGGAGUGCUCGCAAGAGAACCGGAACACAGGUGCUGCAUGGCUGUCGUCAGCUCGUGUCGUGAGAUGUUGGGUUAAGUCCCGCAACGAGCGCAACCCUUGUCAUUAGUUGCCAUCAUUUGGUUGGGCACUCUAAUGAGACUGCCGGUGACAAACCGGAGGAAGGUGGGGAUGACGUCAAGUCCUCAUGGCCCUUAUAGGUGGGGCUACACACGUCAUACAAUGGCCGGUACAGAGGGUAGCCAACCCGCGAGGGGGAGCCAAUCCCACAAAGCCGGUCGUAGUCCGGAUCGCAGUCUGCAACUCGACUGCGUGAAGUCGGAAUCGCUAGUAAUCGCGGAUCAGCAUGUCGCGGUGAAUACGUUCCCGGGUCUU
rnacentral:rRNA from 1 species